rnacentral:rRNA from 1 species
UACAGAGGUCUCAAGCGUUGUUCGGAUUCAUUGGGCGUAAAGGGUGCGUAGGCGGCGCGGUAAGUCGGGUGUGAAAUCUCGGAGCUUAACUCCGAAACUGCAUUCGAUACUGCCGUGCUUGAGGACUGGAGAGGAGACUGGAAUUUACGGUGUAGCGGUGAAAUGCGUAGAUAUCGUGAGGAAUACCAGAGGCGAAGGCGGCUACCUGGACAAUUGCUGACGCUCAGGCACGAAAGCGUGGGGAGCAAAAGGG